CUCAUUUGUGGGGAACCUGUUAGAAAGGAGCUCACUGCCGCUUCACUGCUCCACUAUGACCUUGGUGUUCACCUUGAUGCUUGAGAUGCUCCUGUUUCUGAGAGCUGGAGCCCAGUCAGUGACCCAGCCUGAUGACCACAUCACUGUCUCUGAAGGAGCCCGUCUGGAGCUGAAGUGCAACUACUCAUCUUCUGGUUCACCAUACCUCUUCUGGUACGUGCAGUACCCCAACCAAGGACUCCAGCUUCUCCUGAAGUACGAGUCUGGAGACAAUCUUGUUUCAGGCAUCAAAGGUUUUGAGGCUGAAUUUAGGAGGAGUGAGAAGUCCUUCCACCUGAAGAAAAUACCAGCUCAUUGGAAAGACUCGGCCAAGUACUUCUGUGUGCUGAGUGACACAGUGCCUGGGACUGCAGGAGGAGCUGAACACAAACCUCCCGGGACACCAUAG